CCUACGGGUGGCAGCAGUAAGGAAUAUUGCGCAAUGGGCGAAAGCCUGACGCAGCAACGCCGCGUGCGGGAUGAAGGCCCUCGGGUUGUAAACCGCUUUCAGUAGGGAAGAAAAUGACGGUACCUACAGAAGAAGCCCCGGCCAACUACGUGCCAGCAGCCGCGGUAACACGUAGGGGGCGAGCGUUGUCCGGAUUUAUUGGGCGUAAAGAGCUCGUAGGCGGUUUCGUAAGUCGGAUGUGAAAACUCCAGGCUCAACUUGGAGACGCCAUUCGAUACUGCGAUGACUUGAGUCCGGUAGGGGAGUGUGGAAUUCCUGGUGUAGCGGUGAAAUGCGCAGAUAUCAGGAGGAACACCGGCGGCGAAGGCGGCACUCUGGGCCGGUACUGACGCUGAGGAGCGAAAGCGUGGGUAGCAAACAGGAUUAGAUACCCCAGUAGU
rnacentral:rRNA from 1 species